AGGGAAUCUUCGGCAAUGGACGAAAGUCUGACCGAGCAACGCCGCGUGAGUGAAGAAGGUUUUCGGAUCGUAAAACUCUGUUGGUAGAGAAGAACGUUGGUGAGAGUGGAAAGCUCAUCAAGUGACGGUAACUACCCAGAAAGGGACGGCUAACUACGUGCCAGCAGCCGCGGUAAUACGUAGGUCCCGAGCGUUGUCCGGAUUUAUUGGGCGUAAAGCGAGCGCAGGUGGUUUAUUAAGUCUGGUGUAAAAGGCAGUGGCUCAACCAUUGUAUGCAU
rnacentral:rRNA from 1 species